UCCGUUCCUUUCCCUCCUUUGUCUUUGUCUAUCGCUUCUUUCCCUCCUCUCUAUUCUCUGAAAUUUCUGGAACCCCAAGCUCUUCAUUCUCCAUCUUAGUUGCGCCACCGCCAGAUCUUAGUAUCUGGUCAUCGGAGAAAAUAUGGCGGAGUCUUCUUCUCCGACGCCUGAGCAACCCUUGUGGAGUUAUCUCAGCUGACGAAUUGCAAAGAUGUCAUAACAAAAAUGGGUUUGCUGUUGUGAUUUUCAAGGUAUAAUUUCCCAUACAUACUUUGUUCGUUCUUUGCCAAUGACCACUAUUUUAAGCGUGGGGUAUCCAUUAUCAGUAUCACCAAUAGGGUCUUUAUUAUAUGAUUGAGCAUUGUUGGGGUCCAUUGAGUAGAAAUAUAAGCAUCCCUUCAACACCAACGGUAUCUUGCUAAAAAAUGAGAAAAUCCUGGAAGUCCUUGAAAUGAUGAUCCUAGCCAACAAAAAGUCAAAUACUGAAAGACAUUUAAUGAGUUCACAACGAUGCAAAUUUAGUUGGAUUGACCUUUCAUUGAUUGGCCCUUAAUAUCCCUAUAACUCUUUCAUUUGCCAUGAUUGCAUUUUUUUCAGCAUUUUGGGAAGUCCAAUUUUGCAAAUUGACCUUUCUGUGUAUAAUGAUUUCCAUAUCUUUGAAGUCUUGGUAUUAGCCUCCAUAUCCACGUGAGACAUUUAUUGCCUUCUGCAAUUGAUUAUAUGCUCUGUUUCUACUGUUGCCUCUUGAGAAUAAUAAUUAUUAAAACAAGUUUUGGAGUAAUGAAUUAAAUAAAAUGCAAGUACACUAAUGUAGCUAAAAAUUAAGGGAUUUUCUGUACAAAUUAGAACCUUGGUAAUCUAUCCAGUGGUAGCAUGUUCCCUAUUUGAAAGCAUGAGUUUUCUAUGGUUAUUUUAUUCCAAAGUAUUAUUAAUUUUACCAAGCUUCCCAAUAUUCUCCUCUUUUUUUAUUUAUUUCUUUUUAGAGUUAUGAACUUCAGUCUCAUUAACUUUAUUUAUGGCAAAUUGGUCCUUCCCUUUAUGAUUUUGGUUUAUGAAAGGCUCUUCUUUAGGAGACAUAGAAUCACGUGUGUUGUUAGAGAUGAACAUGAUCUUAAUAGCUCAAUAUUCCCCUGUGAAUAGAGACCUAAAUGUGUUGUUGAAUAUGCAGGGAUGUCUUAAACAAAUUUUGCUUUUGCUGUACGAGUUUUUUGGGACCAAAUUUUGAAAUGAUAUGAAAUCUUCUGAAAGUGUGUUAUAUUUAACUCCAAAGUGUUUUUUUCCAGGUUAAAUCACUGCAUUUUGUUCAAUAAAAAAUAACUGACCUUCUUUGUCAAUGUACAUUAGCUCAGAGAUGCAAAUGCUGAGAGAGAGAGAGAGAGAGAGAGAGUGACUUUUCAGACGAAAAGAGCAUGCGAAGUCUGACCAGAGAUAUAAAGAAAUUUAAAUGAUAAAUUUUCAUUCAAAAAUUGGCAUGAGGUACUCAUUAAAAAAAAAAAGAGAAAACUCACUUUUUCUUUCUCUAUAAUUUCUGUUAUUUUCCUCUUAGGUGCAAGAGUUUUGGCAGACUCCAAUUUCCACUAUUAUAAAAUUGAAUAGUUUGCUUUAUUAUAAAAGUCCUUGCCUUUUAAUAUGAUCUAUAUGUGGCAAUUAGUGAUUAAAUUUUUCUGUCAAUUUAACACACAAGGGAUACUAUGUGCUGUAGCUAUUUGGAAAAGAGACAAAGAGUGGGAUUUUGGUUUGUAUAGGAAGGAACUCUGCAAUGAUUCUAGCCUUGAUUUUGGUUUAUAGUCACGUGCUUAUUACAGUUUGUAGUCCAAAAUUUACUCAUCACGGAUAAAGUUAGAUUUUGGUUUUUUCCCUCUUUGUUGGGAUUUUGCAACAACUCUAGGUACAUCAUUUAUGACGGGAAGCUAAUCUUUUUGUGUAUGGCUGUACUCUUGCUCAUUUCAAUGUUACUUCAGUGAUUUUUGUUCAGUCAGCCACAUUUUAGACCUCACUUUAAUCUAUUUUCCUUCACCUGUUUCCAUAUAACAUUUGCAUUUAAAUAUUUUACAAUUAAUAUUGCAAUAUAAAUAAAUAUUACAGAUGAUUAGUUACACUUUUGCUGCCAUUUAUCAUUAGCAUUCCUAUAAGUAUUAUACUGCUAUUCCUGUGAUGUUCUUUUAUCAGUUUAAUUACUCUUUUGCUGCCAUAUCAUUGAAAGUGUAGAUUUACUUUUUCUGAAUUGAAAUAUGUUUAAGUUUAAGGUAAACUAGCAAUUCAAAGAAUUGGUGCCAGCCUUUUGUUUAGGCAUUGGAGAAUGCAAUUGGAAUCUCAAUGGCCAUAACCAAGCAUGAUCUUAAUGUCACUGUUUUCUUUUUUCUUUUUUCUUUUCUUUUUAUUAAUGUCACUGUGUUUUCUACUUCAUGCUUAUAUGAAGUUAAGCUUCUAAAGUUAACAACAUAUAUAAACCAACAGUUCAAGAUGCGUACAUCGAUUGAACUAAUCAUGAAAGGAAUUAAUUAUAAACUUGGAAUGAUUACUUUCUGAUUUCCAAGUUAAAUAUAUAAAUAUAUAUAUAUAUAUAUAUCCAUUGUGUGAAAUUUGUGCUUAACAUAUACAUAGAAAUUCAUAACUUGCUAUGAAUUGUGUGCCGUAGGCUAUAAUGCAUAAUUUGUCAAUAGACUAUCAUAUGUUGGUAUGUAGCAAUGCACACUUUUCAAGGCAGUUCUAAAGGUAUUGUUGUUUCCUUACUUUAUAGUCAAGACCUUAUUAUAUGAUAUAUUAAUAUAAAAGAAUUUUGUUUUUAUGUUAGAUUUGUAUAUACACUCUUUCCUAUUAUGGCAUAAGCUUGCAGUAUUUUUUGCCUGAUUCUUUAUUUGUUUUUUCAGGAUAUUUUAAAAUGCAUGGUCAUACCUAACAUUUAGUGUAAUGGUUGAAGUCUUAAAAAACUUUUUUUAUUUGUAAGUUGAAUUUGAAAAUAAAUAACUUUAUACUUAAUAAAUUACACUUUUUUUUUUUUAAUCUUCUUGCACGGGUAGUAAAGUCUUGGCCAUGUAUCUAAGAAAAAUAUAAAAAAAAGAUAUCAAAAGAGUAUUUUUGUCUAGAUGUGAAAAGCAAGUGAUUGUGAGAGAGUAUUUAGCUAUUGCACAUCAUAUACAUCUAAGUUCACUCAACUCUCCUACCAAUGAGAGAUUGAGCAAAUAAUGUGGCUUUUAUAGAUUUGAUUAUAUAGGAAAAAUUACACCUCAUCAAAGAUCAAAGGGAAUGUGAUGGGAAAAUCAAUUAAUUGUUACAAGACUGAUUCUAAUUCUUGUAUAAAGGUUUUCUAGAGUAUGAAUCUUGGCUUAAUUAAGAUGAAGUUGUCAAGUUUUGUUGUCCUACAACUCUUAAAACACAAUUUUAUUAUUAAUUAUAAUAAAUAUUUGAUCAUUAUGUAAGUCUAACCUUUUCAUGCAGUACAUGAGGAGUAAAUGCUUGAAUAAUGUUUGUUUUGGAGCCUAUGGAGAUUUUUAUUUUUUAUUAAAUUGAAGAGGUACUUUUGGUCCAUAGAAGGCAAAGGGAUGAGAUGAGGGGAUCCGUUCUUAAAUAUGAAAGUAAUAUUGUAAUAUCAUUCAUCUGAGGUUUUUUGUUUUUUUUUUUUUUUUUUGGGUAGGCUAAACAUAUUUGCUCCAGAAGUCUUAAUUGCAUCCAAUAAUAUUAUAAGUUAGUCUGUACAUAAUUUUUGCUAUGGCCAUAUCUCCUGCAAGUUUUUUUUUUUUUUUUUAUGGUUUUAUGCUUGAUAAUUGUGGUUUCAUUGUCUUUUAGUUCUUCCUUAGAUUUUAUUCAUAAUUUAAUAAACUGUUAGUUAUAAUCUCCCUAUGCAUCGCAUGGGUAGUAAAAUCUAGUUAAAAAAAAAAAAAGAGAGUUGGCAUGAAGGAAGAUGUGGAGCAGAGAGAGACGGUCAGUGGAGACCCAAAUUGCAAAGAAAGGGACUUCAAACUGUAAGCCAUAUCUUCUGGUUUCUUGUGCUUCUCUUACUAUUCUUCAUAUGGUUAUCUCUCAAAUCAUUUGAUGGCUUCGCAUUAGUUAUUGUAUCUUUCCCAUCAUAGAGGUAAGUGGUCUCUCUGUAUCAUGCUAUGAUGAGAAAGGGUGUAUCUUCCGCAUUAUUUAUUUAUGCUUGGCAUUAGUUAUUGUAUCUUCUCAAUUUAUGCUUAGCAUGGUUUCUUGGUUCUUUAGGGGGAGGUCAAGAAUGUUCUCAGGGUUGGUCAGAAGUGUUUGAAAGGGCAAGGCAGUGCAAAGCUCAAGAAGAUUGCAGAACAUACUCAGAAGCUGCAAGUCAUGUAGCAGACCAGAUCUUUGCAGGCAUCUGAGGCAAGUGAAAAAAGUUUUGUUCUUGCUCUCUCAUUCUUCAAUCUUCCUGGCAUCCAGGCAUUGUUUCUUCCACCUCCAGUCCUUCAUCAAAGGGUUGAGGAGAGAGUCUGACAAUAUCAUCAGAGGCCAGUAAGGUAGUCAAAGGCUUCGGAUUCAUAAAUACUUGAGAGUUCUGCUUUAUAAGGUUCUGGAAAAGAGUUGUAGUAAGGACACCUGGAGAUUUGGGUGAAGAUUUUUGUGAAACAGAAGUCCAAGAUGUCACCUCUUCUAUAUCAGAAUCCUCAUUGCCGUAGGUAUUAGCAAUGGCCAUAACAGCUUUUAGAGCUUCAUUUACUAAGCCCCCUUUCUUUUUGGAUGAUUGACCAUCUGUGUCAACUGGAGGAUCAGGAUCAAGUUGCUUCUCAGUACCAAGAGCUUUUAAAAUGCCUAAGAUCAGCAUUUUUAAAAGAAAACUGGACAAAAACGAAAUAGAACAAAGAGAAAUGGAAAGAAACGAACAGAAGAGAGGAAGAAGAGAGGAGGAAGAGAGAGAAUGAGGUUCAGAUCUAGGAGGCUUGUGGCCACUGUGAGCACGGCUACACAACAGGGAAUUAUUGGUAGAACUUAUUGAGAAGUUAAUGAACAAGCCAAGUUUUAUUUUGUACAAGGAGAGCCCUUUUGGUACCAAAGGAUUGAGGUCCAGGUGAAGGAACCGGUGGAGGAUGGGGAAAGGAGCAGAGCUAGGGGUUGUGUGUGAAUUGUAAAGAACUGCAAUCCCUUUCUUUUGAGCAAUUCUAUUGUUUUGUAUUUAGGAUUAGGGUGCCAGUAGGAUGUGAUUAUGCAUAUGUGUGUGAGUAUAUGUGGAUUGUAUGGCUUGUGUAUAAAUUUUUUGUUUGCUUGUGGACUUAUGGUCAGAAAACUUAGCUAUGGUAUGUCGUUUUGAUGGAUUUAUUUAGUAAAUCAAGUUUCCACUGCACGAAAA